UACGUAGGGGGCUAGCGUUGUCCGGAUUUAUUGGGCGUAAAGAGCGUGUAGGCGGCUUGGCAAGUCUGCUGUGAAAACUCGAGGCUCAACCUCGAGCUGUCGGUGGAAACUGCUUGGCUAGAGUCCGGAAGAGGAGAGUGGAAUUCCUGGUGUAGCGGUGAAAUGCGCAGAUAUCAGGAGGAACACCAAUAGCGAAGGCAGCUCGCUGGGACGUUACUGACACUGAGGCGCGAAAGCGUGGGGAGCGAACAGG
rnacentral:rRNA from 1 species